rnacentral:rRNA from 1 species
ACGGAAAGGCCCUGCUUGCAGGGUACUCGAGUGGCGAACGGGUGAGUAACACGUGGGUGAUCUGCCCUGCACUUCGGGAUAAGCUUGGGAAACUGGGUCUAAUACCGGAUAGGAGCCAUCUUUAGUGUGGUGGUUGGAAAGUUUUUUCGGUGUAGGAUGAGCUCGCGGCCUAUCAGCUUGUUGGUGGGGUAAUGGCCUACCAAGGCGGCGACGGGUAGCCGGCCUGAGAGGGUGUACGGCCACAUUGGGACUGAGAUACGGCCCAGACUCCUACGGGAGGCAGCAGUGGGGAAUAUUGCACAAUGGGCGCAAGCCUGAUGCAGCGACGCCGCGUGGGGGAUGAAGGCCUUCGGGUUGUAAACUCCUUUCGCUAGGGACGAAGCUUUGUGUGACGGUACCUAGAUAAGAAGCACCGGCUAACUACGUGCCAGCAGCCGCGGUAAUACGUAGGGUGCGAGCGUUGUCCGGAAUUACUGGGCGUAAAGAGCUCGUAGGUGGUUUGUCGCGUCGUCUGUGAAAUUCUGGGGCUUAACUCCGGGCGUGCAGGCGAUACGGGCAUAACUUGAGUGCUGUAGGGGUAACUGGAAUUCCUGGUGUAGCGGUGAAAUGCGCAGAUAUCAGGAGGACACCGAUGGCGAAGGCAGGUUACUGGGCAGUUACUGACGCUGAGGAGCGAAAGCAUGGGUAGCGAACAGGAU